rnacentral:misc_RNA from 1 species
UUAAGUCGUUGGUUAGCUAGCACUAAUUCUGUUUUCAUUUUCCUACCUCGAUCGUAAGGCUACGCCUGCUGUUUAUGCUACGCUGAUGCGAGACUAACAACAAAACCAUCUGCAACAGUAGUUCCUCAUAUUACAAAACCACGAUUUUUUUUACCAAUCGGUACCCCAUAUCCCAGAGCACUACUCAGGAAAAGAAGAGAGGAAGCCGCUUCUGCUUCCACUGAAAAAUCCAUAAAUACGGCAACCCAAACUUAUCUUCCUGUAGAAACACCAAGUUCAGUAACCACUGGCACAACUGAGUCAGGUCCAAUAAUUGAAGUAAAGGAGAUUUUUUAUCCUUCUUGGAUCUUUAAUCGCCAUCAAUGGAAACAUCUACAAAGACUUUGGUGACGGGAUGUAACACGCAAAUCUCAUGAAAGACAUAGUGGCUCACUAUAGUUCGGAAAUGUUAAGACAUAUACUUGGUAGCUCUUUUACGUAAAAUAAAUGAUAAUAUAACUUUAUUCAUUAUUACUA